UACGUAGGGUGCAAGCGUUAAUCGGAAUUACUGGGCGUAAAGCGUGCGCGGGCGGUUUUGUAAGUUUGUCGUGAAAGCCCCGGGCUCAACCUGGGAAUUGCGAUGAAGACUGCAAGGCUUGAAUCUGGCAGAGGGGGGUAGAAUUCCACGUGUAGCAGUGAAAUGCGUAGAGAUGUGGAGGAACACCGAUGGCGAAGGCAGCCCCCUGGGUCAAGAUUGACGCUCAUGCACGAAAGCGUGGGGAGCAAACAGG
rnacentral:rRNA from 1 species